GACGAACCGUGCGAACGUUGUUCGGAUUCACUGGGCUUAAAGGGCGCGUAGGCGGUCGACCAAGUCUGGGGUGAAAUCUUUCGGCUCAACCGGAAAAGUGCCCCCGAUACUGGCCGGCUAGAGGGAGAUAGGGGCAUGCGGAACUUCCGGUGGAGCGGUGAAAUGCGUAGAUAUCGGAAGGAAGACCAGUGGCGAAGGCGGGUCUCUGGACAGUUCCUGACGCUGAGGCACGAAGGCCAGGGGAGCAAACGGG
rnacentral:rRNA from 1 species